rnacentral:rRNA from 1 species
CCUACGGGAGGCAGCAGUGAGGAAUAUUGGUCAAUGGACGAGAGUCUGAACCAGCCAAGUCGCGUGAAGGAUGACUGCCCUAUGGGUUGUAAACUUCUUUUAUAUGGGAAUAAAACGUUCCACGUGUGGGAUUUUGUCUGUACCAUAUGAAUAAGGAUCGGCUAACUCCGUGCCAGCAGCCGCGGUUAUACGGAGGAUCCGAGCGUUAUCCGGAUUGAUUGGGUUUAAAGGGAUCGUAGGUGGAUUGUUAAGUCAGUUGUGAAAGUUUGCGGCUCAACCGUAAAAUUGCAGUUGAAACUGGCAGUCUUGAGUACAGUAGAGGUGGGCGGAAUGCGAGGUGUAGCGGUGAAAUGCUUAGAGAUCACGAAGAACGCCGAUUGCGAAGGCAGCUCACUGGACUGCAACUGACACUGAGGCUCGAAAGUGUGGGUAUCAAACAGGAUUAGAUACCCCUGUAGUC